UAGCCCCAAUCCACAACCCCGCGCCCCUCACUCCUCCCUCCCUCGUCUGCCGCCACUCCCUCCCACCUCCUCCUCCUGCGCCCUAGGAGCCCCGCCGCCGACUGCUACUCCUCCACCGCCUCGCCUCUUCCUCCUCCUCGCCUUCCCACCGCUCGUCUUCAGGUCGCAGCGGUGGUUCCCGAUCUGAGCCGUCUUCAGGUGUGUGGAGCGACGGAGGUCGGCUCCCUCCUUCUCCACGGUCGCGCGGCGGGAGAGGAGUCAGCCCCGGUGCUCUGCCUCUCCACCCGUCUCCGCAAGCCAUCGUCCGAUGCCGUCGUUGCCCGCCAUCAUCUUUCUCGUUGCCUGCUUGCUUGAGGACCAUGGCAUUCCUCGCUGUAGCCGAUGCUUAUGCGUUCGGUUAGGUUAAGGACGUGCAUCCCCUUUCAACAGAUCGAUUUCGCUCGUCGCUCUUCAAGCGCUGAUUUGUUCUUCCCUUUCUCUUCUUAUUUUCUUGCUGUUCAUACAACCGCUGCUGCCGGUUUCCUGCUUCUGCCUCUUCCGUAUGCCUGUCCGCACUGUUUGUUCCAAGAAGCGAAGGCGGAGGUGGAGAUGCGGGAGAGGCCGAGUCCGAGGUGGCAGAGGACGAGCAAUGAAAAUGGCAGAGAGUGGUCGCGAGCUCAUUCCGGCGGCCGGCGUACGCAGCCGUGAGGGGUGGGGUGGAUGAGCAAGCGGCGUCGCCGUCGCUGCCUCGUGGGUGCAGACGAGAAGAUGGCAUGCAUAUGUUGAUGUACCAAAUAUCGAGGCAUUGCUA